rnacentral:misc_RNA from 1 species
AACGCACCUUGCGCCCCUUGGCUAUUCCGAGGGGCAUGCCUGUUUGAGUAUCAUGAACACCUCAACUCUCAUGGCUUGCCGUGAUGAGCUUGGACUUUGGGGGCUUUGCUGGCCUAUGGUCAGCUCCUCUCAAACGAAUCAGCCUGCCAGUGUUUGGCGGCGUCACAGGUGUGAUAACUAUCUACGCUUGUGGUCGCCUGCCAGGUAACCUUCAGCAAUGGAGGUUCGCUGGAGCUUAUAAAUGUCUUUCCUCAGCAAAGACAGCUUUUCGAACGUUCGAUCUCAAAUCAGGUAGGACUACCCGCUGAACUUAA